AAUCAAUGAUGAAAGUAGCCAAACCUGAGCUUCAAAGGACCUUCCCAUGUGCUUUGAUGUUUGAUCUCCAUAGUCCAUAGU
ensembl:snoRNA